ensembl:lncRNA
UGUUCCUUUAAGAACAACAGGAUGUGACCUUGGCCUGACCAUGUGACCCCUUGCCAGGAAGUGCAAAGGCGUUUCAGAUCCGUACCAACACCAGAUGAUGUUUCCUGUUCUCAACGGCCGGCAGUUGCUGCCGCCUGCAUUGGUUUAUCCCUUCCCCUUGUUCACACAUCACGUUAUUAGUAGUCUGUCACAUUGAGCCACAUGUCUGGACGGCCAGGAGGACUUUGAGAGCAGAGAGCGUAUUUCGUUGAGGAGUCAUAGAUGUCUGCACAUCGAUGUGACUAACCAAGGUCGAGCCUUCUGGGAAAUGUUCGCCGCUUCGGUCGCCAUUUCAAAAAACAUGAAUACACCAAAAGGGCUUCUCAUUGCUACGCUUCUAACGUUGUUCAUGGUUAUAUAAACUGUACGUUUAUUUAUGUAUUCAUUUAGGUUUCCCCGUUAGUUUUAACCGCUGUGAAUAUGUUUCAGAUACAUUCCAUAUUUCACAGUAUCAGCCCCCUAACCCCAUUCCGGGCCUUAAAACUUAUCCCCGAACUUUAUCCUAGAACUUUAUACCUGAACUUUUUGUUGCCACGGCACCUUCACCUACCAUCCGGUUUUAUUAAGCAUGUAAAGAAAUUAAAAGAAAACAAAUAAAAUUGGAUGGUCUAGCUGCAAGUAGCGGACAAAGCCACGUUUAAGUAUCUUUAUAAAAGUCGCCUAUUUUAUUAGCAUACAAGCACGUCGUCUUUGUUGCGCGCAAGUGUGUGUGUGUGUGUGUGUGUGUGUGUGUGUGUGU